UGGAGGAAAGCAGGGGAUCGUAAGACCUUGCGCUUUUGGAGCGGCCGAUGUCUGAUUAGCUAGUUGGUGGGGUAAUGACCUACCAAAGCUUCGAUCAGUAGCUGGUCUGAGAGGACGGCCAGCCACACUGGGACUGAGACACGGCCCAGACUCCUACGGGAGGCAGCAGUGGGGAAUUUUGGACAGUGGGCGCAAGCCUGAUCCAGCCAUGCCGCGUGAGUGAAGAAGGCCUUCGGGUUGUAAAGCUCUUUCAGCCGGGAAGAAAAGGCUGCGACUAAUAAUCGCAGUUCAUGACGGUACCGGAAGAAGAAGCACCGGCUAACUACGUGCCAGCAGCCGCGGUAAUACGUAGGGUGCGAGCGUUAAUCGGAAUUACUGGGCGUAAAGGGUGCGCAGGCGGUUUUGUAAGUCAGAUGUGA
rnacentral:rRNA from 1 species